rnacentral:rRNA from 1 species
UGGUCAAGUUAUUAAGGGUGCAGGGCGGAUGCCUUGGCACUAGGAGCCGAUGAAGGACGUGAUAAGCUGCGAUAAGCUUCGGGGAGUUGCACGUAAACUUUGAUCCGAAGAUUUCCGAAUGAGGAAACUCACUUAGAGUAAUGUCUAAGUAUCAUUAAGUGAAUACAUAGCUUAAUGAGGGGAACUCAGGGAACUGAAACAUCUAAGUACCUGAAGGAAGAGAAAGAAAUUCGAUUCCGUAAGUAGCGGCGAGCGAACGCGGAUUAGCCCAAACCAAUAAAGUUUUCUUUAUUGGGGUUGCGGACAUAUCAUAACGAAGAGGUAUCGUAAUUGAAGAGGUUUGGAAAGACCCACCACAGAAGGUAAUAGUCCUGUAUGUUAAACGAGAAGACUUCAGAUAUGAUCCAGAGUACCACGGGACACGUGAAACCCUGUGGGAAGCAGGAGGGACCACCCUCCAAGGCUAAAUACUACCUAGUGACCGAUAGCGUAUAGUACCGUGAGGGAAAGGUGAAAAGAACCCCGGGAGGGGAGUGAAAUAGAACCUGAAACCCUGCACUUACAAGCUGUGGAAGCACAUUUCUUGUGUGACCGCGUACUUUUUGUAGAACGGGCCAACGAGUUACGUUAAGUAGCAAGGUUAAGCACUUAAGGUGCGGAGCCGUAGCGAAAGCGAGUUUUAACUGAGCGUUCAGUUACUUGACGUAGACCCGAAACCGGGCGACCUACCCAUGAGCAGGAUGAAGCGAAAGUAAAAUUUCGUGGAGGUCCGAACCCACGAGCGUUGAAAAGCUCGGGGAUGACUUGUGGGUAGCGGUGAAAUUCCAAUCGAGCCCGGAGAUAGCUGGUUCUCCCCGAAAUAGCUUUAGGGCUAGCCUCAAGGUGAGAGAUACGGAGGUAGAGCACUGAAUGUCCUAGGGGGUAUUGCACCUACCGAAGACUAUCAAACUCCGAAUGCCGUCAUCUUAUACUUGGGAGUCAGACUGUGGGUGAUAAGAUUCAUAGUCGAAAGGGCAACAGCCCAGAUCGUCAGCUAAGGUCCCUAAAUGUAAGUUAAGUGGUAAAGGAUGUGGGAUUGCACAGACAACCAGGAUGUUGGCUUAGAAGCAGCCACUCAUUCAAAGAGUGCGUAAUAGCUCACUGGUCGAGUGAUCCUGCGCCGAAGAUUUCCGGGGCUAAAACUUACUACCGAAGCUACGGCAUCAGUAAUGAUGGGUAGGGGAGCUUCCCAUACGGGUUGAAGCAUGACCGUAAGGACAUGUGGACAGUAUGGGAGUGAGAAUGUUGGCAUGAGUAGCGAGAUGUGGGUGAGAAUCCCACAGGCCGUAAACCCAAGGUUUCCAGGGGAAGGUUCGUCCGCCCUGGGUUAGUCGGGACCUAAGCUGAGGCCGAAAGGCGUAGGUGAUGGACAACAGGUUGAUAUUCCUGUACUACCGAUAACCGUUUGAGAGAAGGGAUGACACAGUAGGAUAAGCUAAGCACACUGUUGGUUAUGUGUGCCCAAGCAUUGAGGCAGUCAAAGUAGGCAAAUCCGCUUUGAUAAUGCUGGGAUGUGAUGGGGAGCGAAAUUUAGUAGCGAAGUAGCUGAUUUCACACUGUCAAGAAAAGUCUCUAUCGAGGUUAAAGGUACCCGUACCGCAAACCGACACAGGUGGGUGAGGAGAGUAUCCUAAGGCCAGCGAGAGAACUGUUGUUAAGGAACUCGGCAAAAUGACCCCGUAACUUAGGGAUAAGGGGUGCCACCAUCAGGUGGCCGCAGAGAAUAGGCCCAAGCGACUGUUUACCAAAAACAUAGGUUUCUGCUAAGUCGCAAGACGAUGUAUAGGAGCUGACGCCUGCCCGGUGCUGGAAGGUUAAGGGGAUCUGUUAGAGCAAUCGAAGCAGUGAACUUAAGCCCCAGUAAACGGCGGCCGUAACUAUAACGGUCCUAAGGUAGCGAAAUUCCUUGUCGGGUAAGUUCCGACCCGCACGAAAGGCGUAACGAUUUGGGCACUGUCUCAACAACAGACUCGGUGAAAUUGUAAUUCCGGUGAAGAUGCCGGAUACCUGCGACAGGACGGAAAGACCCCAUGGAGCUUUACUGUAGCUUGACAUUGGGUCUUGGUACUACAUGUACAGGAUAGGUGGGAGGCUUUGAAACCAGGACGCCAGUUUUGGCGGAGCCAUCCUUGGGAUACCACCCUUGUAGUACUGGGACUCUAACCAUAGGCCAUGAAUCUGGUCUUGGGACACUGUCAGGUGGGCAGUUUGACUGGGGCGGUCGCCUCCCAAAAGGUAACGGAGGCGCUCAAAGGUUCUCUCAGUACGGUCGGAAAUCGUACGUAGAGUGUAAAGGCAAAAGAGAGCUUGAUUGCAAGACAUACAGGUCGAGCAAGGAUGAAAAUCGGACUUAGUGAUCCGGUGGUUCUGCGUGGAAGGGCCAUCGCUCAACGGAUAAAAGCUACCCUGGGGAUAACAGGCUUAUCUCCCCCAAGAGUCCACAUCGACGGGGAGGUUUGGCACCUCGAUGUCGGCUCAUCACAUCCUGGGGCUGUAGUAGGUCCCAAGGGUUGGGCUGUUCGCCCAUUAAAGUGGUACGCGAGCUGGGUUCAGAACGUCGUGAGACAGUUCGGUCCCUAUCCGUCGCAGGCGUAGGAAAUUUGAGAAGACCUGUCCUUAGUACGAGAGGACCGGGAUGGACGUACCUCUGGUGUACCAGUUGUCCUGCCAAGGGCAUGGCUGGGUAGCUAUGUACGGAAUGGAUAAGCGCUGAAAGCAUCUAAGCGCGAAGCCAACUUCAAGAUAAGAUUUCCCACCGCAAGGGUAAGACCCCAGAAAGACUAUCUGGUUGAUAGGUCGAAGGUGUAAGUGCAGCAAUGUAUUUAGCUUAUCGAUACUAAUAGGUCGAGGACUUGACCAA